GUACAGAGGUGCUUGCACCUCUUGAGAGCGGCGGACGGGUGAGUAAUGCCUAGGAAUCUGCCUGGUAGUGGGGGAUAACGCUCGGAAACGGACGCUAAUACCGCAUACGUCCUACGGGAGAAAGCAGGGGACCUUCGGGCCUUGCGCUAUCAGAUGAGCCUAGGUCGGAUUAGCUAGUUGGUGAGGUAAUGGCUCACCAAGGCGACGAUCCGUAACUGGUCUGAGAGGAUGAUCAGUCACACUGGAACUGAGACACGGUCCAGACUCCUACGGGAGGCAGCAGUGGGGAAUAUUGGACAAUGGGCGAAAGCCUGAUCCAGCCAUGCCGCGUGUGUGAAGAAGGUCUUCGGAUUGUAAAGCACUUUAAGUUGGGAGGAAGGGCAUUAACCUAAUACGUUAGUGUUUUGACGUUACCGACAGAAUAAGCACCGGCUAACUCUGUGCCAGCAGCCGCGGUAAUACAGAGGGUGCAAGCGUUAAUCGGAAUUACUGGGCGUAAAGCGCGCGUAGGUGGUUCGUUAAGUUGGAUGUGAAAUCCCCGGGCUCAACCUGGGAACUGCAUUCAAAACUGUCGAGCUAGAGUAUGGUAGAGGGUGGUGGAAUUUCCUGUGUAGCGGUGAAAUGCGUAGAUAUAGGAAGGAACACCAGUGGCGAAGGCGACCACCUGGACUGAUACUGACACUGAGGUGCGAAAGCGUGGGGGAGCAAACAGGAUUAGAUACCCUGGUAGUCCACGCCGUAAACGAUGUCAACUAGCCGUUGGGAAGCCUUG
rnacentral:rRNA from 1 species